AUUGAACGCUGGCGGCAGGCCUAACACAUGCAAGUCGAACGAGUGGCGGACGGGUGAGUAAUGUCUGGGAAACUGCCUGAUGGAGGGGGAUAACUACUGGAAACGGUAGCUAAUACCGCAUACCAUCGGAUGUGCCCAGAUGGGAUUAGCUAGUAGGUGGGGUAAAGGCUCACCUAGGCGACGAUCCCUACCUGGUCGGAGAGGAGGACAAGGCAAACUGGAACUGAGACAGGGGCCAGACUCCUACGGGAGGCAGCAGUGGGGAAGAUGGAACAAGGGGCGCAAGGCUGAUGCAGCCAAGCCGCGUGUAGGAAAGAGGCCUGCGGGUUGUAAAGCACUUUAAGUUGGGAGGCGUUACCAACAGAAUAAGCACCGGCUAACUUCGUGCCAGCAGCCGCGGUAAUUC
rnacentral:rRNA from 1 species